GACGUAGGUGGCGAACGUUGUCCGGAAUUAUUGGGCGUAAAGGGUGCGUAGGUGGUGUGGUAAGUUAUCUGUGGAAAAUCGAGGCUCAACCUCGUGGAAGUCGGUAAUACUGCUAUGCUAGAGGAUAGGAGAGGUUAACGGAACUCCCUGUGGAGCGGUGAAAUGCGUAGAUAUAGGGAAGAACACCAAUAAGGCGAAGGCAGUUAACUAGUCUAUUCCUGACAUUGAGGCAUGAAAGCGUGGGGAGCAAAACGG
rnacentral:rRNA from 1 species